rnacentral:ncRNA from 1 species
AGUAAAGGGCAAACCUAUUGAAAAAUAGGGACGCAAAGUCACGGGUCUAAAGUAUUAAACUAUGACGGCUGGAUUGU